rnacentral:rRNA from 1 species
UACGGAGGGGGCGAGCGUUAUCCGGAUUCAUUGGGCGUAAAGCGCGCGUAGGCGGCCGCCUAAGCGGAACCUCUAACCCCGGGGCUCAACCUCGGGCCGGGUUCCGGACUGGGCGGCUCGAGUGCGGUAGAGGAGAGCGGAAUUCCCGGUGUAGCGGUGGAAUGCGCAGAUAUCGGGAAGAACACCGAUGGCGAAGGCAGCUCUCUGGGCCGUCACUGACGCUGAGGCGCGAAAGCUGGGGGAGCGAACAGG